GCAUGAAUAUACAAGACGAGAAGACCCUAUGGAGCUUUAGACACUAGCCAACUGUGAAUAAGCGACUGAACUGAGCGAGUCCUAAAUACCCACAGCCCUCUGGCAACGUAGUCUUAGGUUGGGGCGACCACGGGAGAAAGCAAAGCUCCCAAGCAGACCGGGAAAACCCUUAAGCCGAGAGUUGCAACUCUAAGCCGCAAAAAUUUUGACUGAAAUGAUCCGGUUGAAAGACCGAUUAACGAACCAAGUUAC
rnacentral:rRNA from 1 species